rnacentral:rRNA from 1 species
UACAGAGGGUGCGAGCGUUAAUCGGAAUUACUGGGCGUAAAGCGUGCGUAGACGGCUAUCUAAGUCGGGUGUGAAAGCCCCGGGCUCAACCUGGGAAUUGCAUUCGAGACUGAAUAGCUAGGGUACGGUAGAGGGAAGUGGAAUUUCCGGUGUAGCGGUGAAAUGCGUAGAUAUCGGAAGGAACAUCAGUGGCGAAAGCGACGUGCUGGGUUGCACCUGACGCUGAGAUGCGAAAGUGUGGGGAGCAAACGGG